GAUGGACGCUGGCGGCGUGCCUAAUACAUGCAAGUCGAGCGAACAGAUAAGGAGCUUGCUCCUUUGACGUUAGCGGCGGACGGGUGAGUAACACGUGGGUAACCUACCUAUAAGACUGGGAUAACUUCGGGAAACCGGAGCUAAUACCGGAUAACAUUUGGAACCGCAUGGUUCUAAAGUGAAAGAUGGUUUUGCUAUCACUUAUAGAUGGACCCGCGCCGUAUUAGCUAGUUGGUAAGGUAACGGCUUACCAAGGCGACGAUACGUAGCCGACCUGAGAGGGUGAUCGGCCACACUGGAACUGAGACACGGUCCAGACUCCUACGGGAGGCAGCAGUAGGGAAUCUUCCGCAAUGGGCGAAAGCCUGACGGAGCAACGCCGCGUGAGUGAUGAAGGGUUUCGGCUCGUAAAACUCUGUUAUUAGGGAAGAACAAACGUGUAAGUAACUGUGCACGUCUUGACGGUACCUAAUCAGAAAGCCACGGCUAACUACGUG
rnacentral:rRNA from 1 species